rnacentral:rRNA from 1 species
UACGUAGGCAGCGAGCGUUGUUCGGAGUUACUGGGCGUAAAGAGUGCGUAGGCGGUUUUCUAAGUUUGGUGUGAAAUCUCCCGGCUUAACUGGGAGGGUGCGCCGAAGACUGGAAGGCUUGAGUAUGGGAGAGGUAAGCGGAAUUCCUGGUGUAGCGGUGAAAUGCGUAGAUAUCUGGAGGAACACCGGUGGCGAAGGCGGCAUCCUGGACCGGCAUUGACGCUGAGGCGCGAAAGCGUGGGGAGCAAACAGG